GACGAACGCUGGCGGCGUGCCUAAUACGUGCAAGUCGAGCGAGCUUGCCUAGAUGAAUUUGGUGCUUGCACCAGAUGAAACUAGAUACAAGCGAGCGGCGGACGGGUGAGUAACACGUGGGUAACCUGCCCAAGAGACUGGGAUAACACCUGGAAACAGAUGCUAAUACCGGAUAACAACACUAGACGCAUGUCUAGAGUUUAAAAGAUGGUUCUGCUAUCACUCUUGGAUGGACCUGCGGUGCAUUAGCUAGUUGGUAAGGCAACGGCUUACCAAGGCAAUGAUGCAUAGCCGAGUUGAGAGACUGAUCGGCCACAUUGGGACUGAGACACGGCCCAAACUCCUACGGGAGGCAGCAGUAGGGAAUCUUCCACAAUGGACGCAAGUCUGAUGGAGCAACGCCGCGUGAGUGAAGAAGGGUUUCGGCUCGUAAAGCUCUGUUGGUAGUGAAGAAAGAUAGAGGUAGUAACUGGCCUUUAUUUGACGGUAAUUACUUAGAAAGUCACGGCUAACUACGUG
rnacentral:rRNA from 1 species